GCGCAGACCAGUUCCUGCACCCCGCGGCCCGGGAGCAGACCCUGAGCCAGGCGGGCUGCGGGCCCCCAUCCCGGUCGCCGGGGAGGAGCGGACGGGGCUCGGCGGGGCCCGGAGCCCGGAGGAGCAGCCCGGGCCAGGCCGGGGCGGAGACAACCGGCCCUCUGGCCGCAGCUGCCGAUCCCACUGCGAGGACAGAGGUUUUUAAAUCUUCACCUUGGAAAUGCGAGCUUUCCAAAACAGACAGCUCGGACACAGCGGUUCCUUUAGAGAGUGCUGGUCCGGGGCGGGGACGCAGACGAGGGCCGGUGCGGGAGGCUGGAUCAGUCGGGGACCAGAACCCAGCCUGUCCUCGGUGCACCGAACCCAAACUGGACCCAGGUCCCGCCCUCAGUCUCAGAACCCAAUGAAGUUUGCUGACCAAGGCCUCAGUUUGUAUUUUUUCCUAAAGACACUAUAAUUAGGAAAUUCUGCUUAAGACAUUUAGAAGCAGGUAAUCCCUGAACUCCAGUGGGAAGUUUGCUUAGCUACAGGGUGCGGUGUCCUGCCCAGCAUCAGCAGCACGGAGGCAGGAAGACAGGAGACUGGCUAGCCACAAAGGCCAGGACUUCUCAUCUCAAGUCUGACUCCCAGAAGCCACAGAAAAUGAAACUCCCCCCAAACCCCGGUCUUUGCCUCCAGAGUUGGGCCGCAGUGACCAGUGGUCAGCAGAUGGGGAGAGGAGAUGCAGAGCCAUUAGUCAGCCAG
ensembl:lncRNA